GUCAAACAUGUCACCCCAGCUCUGUGUUUUGACCCUGGCCUUGGGAACACAACGGUACAGCUAGUCACAGUGGAGAUUGAUGGCAAUGAUAAGAAAAAUCAAAACCCACAUCAGAAGACUGGUAAGAUAUUUUUUUGUCAAUCCAUCAUUUACCUUUCGCCCUUGAUUUCUGUAGCUGAAAAAAAUAAAUCAAACAUCUGUCCCUCUCUAUUCUAAAAUAAAAGUGUACAAACUACAUGUAUGCAAAUAUACUACACAUUCCUAUGUUUAAUUGCUUUUUGAAAAGCGUUUAUUUUUCUGUUUCAUCUUACCAUCACGACUUGCAGAAGAAUCAGAGUUUAUAGAAGUGGUAUUAAUUCCUGUGGACGACCUCCUACAAAGACUGGAUGAUUAUGCAAAGUCAGGAUACAGUGUUGAUUCACGGGUGUAUUCAUACGCGUUAGGACUACAACCUAAGACUUCUUGAUUAAAACUGUAUAGAUCACGUAAGAUUUCAUUAUGUUAUUAUCUUUUGUACCAAGUCUUUAUAAUACAUGUAAUAUUCAUUAUGAUUUUACUAAUGUUCUUCAUUCAUACACAACAACUUUACAUAACUAGACCAAUAAAUUCAAUUUUAUUUUU
rnacentral:misc_RNA from 1 species